rnacentral:snRNA from 1 species
AUCUUUGCGCUUGGGACAAUGACGCAGCUAAUGAGGUACUAACCGAGGCGCGUCUAUUGCUGGUUGAAAACUAUUUCUAAACCCCCUCUUAGGCUUGGGGUAAAGUCCUACAAAAAAAAGAAGUGAUAUUUUUCAAAAA